AUGCCGCCGGCGGCGCUGCCCAGCUUUGCUCCCCUCCGCGUCGCCACCUCCAUUGCCAUGCUGCUGGUUCAGCAAGCUCGUCUGCUCCCAGUGGCCGUGGCGCGGACCAAACUGACCGCGGGAGACACCCUGACGGUGCCGGACUACAUCACCAGCCCAUCCGGCAGCUUCGCCUUCGGCUUCCGUGCCCACGACUCCGACCCGACCCAGUUCCUCCUCGCCACGUGGUUCCGGUUCGGUUCCAUGCCGCCGCAGGCGCAGUCCGUGGCGUGGUUCGCGAAAGAGUCCGCCAUGGGCACCACGCCUAACGCCACGGCACGGUCCGUCCUCAGCAUCCCCGCCGACGGCCAGCUCAAGCUCACCGACGGCAGCAUAGAGCUGUGGAGAGCCCCGACCCCCAGCAUGAAGCGUGGGUCCGUCCUCGUGCUAACAGACUCCGGCAACGUUCAGCUCCUCGGGGACGGCGACAACGUGCUCUCGGAGAGCUUUGGGUUCCCGACGCAUACCCUCCUUCCGGGCCAAUCUUUGGAGGGAUUUCUCUUCUCCAAGCGCGCGGACACGGAGUUCACCACGGGUCGGUUCAGCUUGGCAGCCCAGAGCGACGGUAACGUCGUCCUCUGCAUCGACCUCUUCACCGGUGACAUAUUGCAAAACGCCUACUGGGCCACAGCCACCAACGGCCCCUACGGCAACACGACCAGCACCUUCGACGAGUAUGGCCACCUAAGCUACACUCUCUAUGACGGCAGCAUCAACAACUUGAUUUCGCCUCUCGCCACUGGCAGGAACUAUUUCCGGUUCGCCAGGAUGGACCCCGACGGCAUCGUCCGUGCCUACGCCCGUCCUAAACAUGGCGGCGUUGGCGGCCAGAACACGACUUGGACCGUGUUGGGCACGCUCCCCAGUGGCGGGGGCUGCAAGUUGAAGACGACGAGGAUGCAAGGCAUGUGCGGCCCUGGGUCGUACUGUGUGGAGACCAAAGAGCGGCUCAAUUGCCUGUGCCCGAGUGGGUACACUUACAUCGAUUCAGAGCAUACUAAGAGUGGCUGCACGCCGGGGUUCGAGCCACAGAGGUGCGGCGAGGAGAACAUCUCUGACAAGUUCUCACUCGUGGAGCUGCCAAACACCAUAUGGGAGCUCUCAAUAUACUACAAGAAGUUUCCAUCGGUCUCAGAGGAGCAGUGCCACGACUACUGCCUCAAUGAUUGCUUUUGCGCGGCAGCGCUGAUGAUCAACGGAUCCGACUGUGUCGAGUCGGGGGCACUCGUGUACGGGCGGCAGGGAAAUGACGUCACAACGAAGGCGCUGAUCAAGGUGAGGAAGGGGAAUAAUACUUCUUACAUGGAGACACCGCCGUCAAAAACGACGACGAUACUUGUAGGUCCAUAUAAGAUCGUCACCAUUUGCUUGGCCUUACUCUUAGUGAUCUCCCUCGGUGGCAGCCUCAUGGCAUUGUAUUACCUCACCAGGAACAGAGAUAGCCAGCGGUUGUUGAGCUCGAGCGUGAGAUCGUUUAGUUGCAAGGAGCUUUACCAAGCCACCAAUGGCUUCAAGAAACUGCUGGGCAAAGGGAGUUUUGGGGAGGUCUACAAAGGAAUGAUAAGAUCGCCGCAGCCGCAUCUCAUUGCAGUGAAGAAGCUCAUCGACUCGAACGAGUACAGUGAGCAGGAGUUCACCAAUGAGGUGCAGUCGAUCGGUCAGAUCCACCACCGAAACUUGGUUCGUAUGAUCGGCUACUGCAAACAAGGUAAGCAUCGGAUGUUGGUUUUCAAGUUCAUGCCCGGAGGGUCUCUCCGUGGCUUCCUCUUCAACCCUGAGAGGCGACCACCUUGGAGCUGGCGCGCUGAGGCCGCCCUCGCCAUUGCUCGGGGACUUGAGUACCUCCACGACGGCUGCAUUGCCCCUAUCAUCCACUGCGACAUCAAGCCUGACAAUAUCCUUUUGGACGAUUAUGGAAUCCCCAAGAUCACCGACUUUGGGAUCUCCAAAUUGUUGGGGAGCCAGCAGGUGCACACCACAGUGACCCAUGUUAGAGGUACCAGAGGGUACAUCGCACCUGAGUGGCUCCGCGGCGAUGCACGCGUUGACACCAAGGCAGAUGUGUACAGUUUCGGUGUCGUCCUACUGGAGAUGAUUUGUUGUAGGAGGUGUCAGGAGCCGGUGACUCCUGUCAUGCCAGAAGGGCAGGGCAUGGAGAUCGAUGAAACGGUCACGUUGUUCGGUUGGGCGGCCCAACUGGUUGUCGCACGAAGGACAGAGCUAAUGCUACAUGGUGAUGCAGAUGUCAACACCGCCGAGGACAUGGAGAGGGUGGAGCGGUUUACCCGUGUGGCGCUCUGGUGCAUCGAGCCAAACCCGAUGCUGCGGCCAACCAUCCACCAGGUGGUGCAGAUACUGGAGACCAAUGAUGGGGUGAAGGUUCAGGCACUACCCGACCCUCCAGACUGUUACAUGGAAUCCUCGCCUUUAAUUACUCAGCUCAGGAUGGAAUGA
rnacentral:rRNA from 1 species